ACAUAUCCCCGCAUCCGUAUUUAAAUUUUGGAUAUUUAUUAUCUGUAUUUCCGUAUUUUAAAUUUUAAAAAUUCACAAAUCCGACUCUUAGAUAUGUGUUCGUAUCUGAAUCCCAUAUCUGAGUCCGAGCAACAUAGGUAGAAAUCGAUUUCAGGAGGGAUUGAUUACCAGCUCUUGUGAAGCAACCCGGCCAAGUCAACAUCCUUCAUCACCUCGGCUCUCCUCGGGAAAAGUCUCCGGUGAGUUGUCCUACGGCACCCAAAUCUAUCCUACUCCCAGUUUCUUUAGGUUUUCAAUUUUAGCUGAAUUUGUUGGAUUGCUAACUCUUUCAGCCAAGAAAAGGAGUUGGAAGUGGUGAAUAUUAUAGAAAUAUAGUAUGUAUACUUGGUUGAGAAAUUUUGUUUUAUUUCAAAGAAAAAAAUCCAACCCAGAAGAAGAGCAAAGGGUAUUCCAUUAAUAAGCAGGAUGGCAAGAAGAGGAGUAAGAAAAGGUGAUCAUCAUCAAGAACACCACAAAGAUGUUUCUAAUUCAAAAAGAAGCCAAGAAGCAAGAUGGUUUUGAAUUCUAGUAUCCUAGAAGAUGAGGAGUUUGAUUUGGCACUUCGAGUGUUUGAUUUCCCAUGGUUGAAAGAUGGGGUGGUACAAAAUUAUCCUUGCCCUUGUCUCAUGUGACCAACACAUGAUGGGUUUUGUAUAGCAUUUUAACGGAAAGAGCAAUGGUGCAAGAUAAUGGUGAGUUCAGAGUACAAGAUGCCAGAAAAAAUUAUUUAAGGUGUAAAAUGCCAACUCCAAUCAAAUUAUCCAAUAAAAUUAAGGGUGCAAUCAUGCUAA